GAUGAACGCUGGCGGCGUGCUUAACACAUGCAAGUCGAACGAAGCACUUUAUUUGAUUUCCUUCGGGACUGAUUAUUUUGUGACUGAGUGGCGGACGGGUGAGUAACGCGUGGGUAACCUGCCUUGUACAGGGGGGAUAACAGUUGGAAACGGCUGCUAAUACCGCAUAAGCGCACAGCAUCGCAUGAUGCAGUGUGAAAAACUCCGGUGGUAUAAGAUGGACCCGCGUUGGAUUAGCUAGUUGGUGAGGUAACGGCCCACCAAGGCGACGAUCCAUAGCCGACCUGAGAGGGUGACCGGCCACAUUGGGACUGAGACACGGCCCAAACUCCUACGGGAGGCAGCAGUGGGGAAUAUUGCACAAUGGGCGAAAGCCUGAUGCAGCGACGCCGCGUGAGCGAAGAAGUAUUUCGGUAUGUAAAGCUCUAUCAGCAGGGAAGAUAAUGACGGU
rnacentral:rRNA from 1 species